UACGGAGGGUGGCGAGCGUUAUCCGGAUUCACUGGGUUUAAAGGGUGCGUAGGUGGGAAUGUAAGUCAGUGGUGAAAUCUCUGAGCUUAACUCAGAAACUGCCAUUGAUACUAUGUUUCUUGAAUUUUCUGGAGGUCAGCGGAAUAUGUCAUGUAGCGGUGAAAUGCUUAGAUAUGACAUAGAACACCAAUUGCGAAGGCAGCUGGCUACAGGGAUAUUGACACUGAGGCACGAAAGCGUGGGUAGCAAACAGG
rnacentral:rRNA from 1 species